rnacentral:rRNA from 1 species
AUUGAACGCUGGCGGCAGGCCUAACACAUGCAAGUCGAACGAGUGGCGGACGGGUGAGUAAUGUCUGGGAAACUGCCUGAUGGAGGGGGAUAACUACUGGAAACGGUAGCUAAUACCGCAUACCAUCGGAUGUGCCCAGAGGGGAUUGGCUUGUGGGGGGGGUAACGGCUCACAAAGGCGCCAAUCCCUAGCUGGUCUGAGAGGAUGACAAGCCACACUGGAACGUAGACACGGCCCAGACUCCUACGGUAGGCAGCAGUGGGGAAGAUUGCACAAUGGGCGCAAGCCGGAUGCAGCCAUGCCGCGUGUAUGAAGAAGGCCUUCGGGUUGUAAAGUACUUUCAGCGGGGAGGCGUUACCCGCAGAAGAAGCACCGGCUAACUCCGUGCCAGCCGCCGCGGUAAUUC